AGUCGAACGAUGAUGCCCAGCUUGCUGGGUGGAUUAGUGGCGAACGGGUGAGUAACACGUGAGUAACCUGCCCCUGACUCUGGGAUAAGCGUUGGAAACGACGUCUAAUACUGGAUAGGACUGCCGGCCGCAUGGUCUGGUGGUGGAAAGAUUUUUUGGUUGGGGAUGGACUCGCGGCCUAUCAGCUUGUUGGUGAGGUAAUGGCUCACCAAGGCGACGACGGGUAGCCGGCCUGAGAGGGUGACCGGCCACACUGGGACUGAGACACGGCCCAGACUCCUACGGGAGGCAGCAGUGGGGAAUAUUGCACAAUGGGCGAAAGCCUGAUGCAGCAACGCCGCGUGAGGGAUGACGGCCUUCGGGUUGUAAACCUCUUUUAGUAGGGAAGAAGCGCAAGUGACGGUACCUGCAGAAAAAGCACCGGCUAACUACGUGCCAGCAGCCGCGGUAAUACGUAGGGUGCAAGCGUUGUCCGGAAUUAUUGGGCGUAAAGAGCUCGUAGGCGGUUUGUCGCGUCUGCUGUGAAAUCCCGAGGCUCAACCUCGGGCUUGCAGUGGGUACGGGCAGACUAGAGUGCGGUAGGGGAGAUUGGAAUUCCUGGUGUAGCGGUGGAAUGCGCAGAUAUCAGGAGGAACACCGAUGGCGAAGGCAGAUCUCUGGGCCGUAACUGACGCUGAGGAGCGAAAGCGUGGGGGAGCGAACAGGAUUAGAUACCCUGGUAGUCCACGCCGUAAACGUUGGGCGCUAGAUGUAGGGACCUUUCCACGGUUUCUGUGUCGUAGCUAACGCAUUAAGCGCCCCGCCUGGGGAGUACGGCCGCAAGGCUAAAACUCAAAGGAAUUGACGGGGGCCCGCACAAGCGGCGGAGCAUGCGGAUUAAUUCGAUGCAACGCGAAGAACCUUACCAAGGCUUGACAUACACCGGAAACGGCCAGAGAUGGUCGCCCCCUUGUGGUCGGUGUACAGGUGGUGCAUGGUUGUCGUCAGCUCGUGUCGUGAGAUGUUGGGUUAAGUCCCGCAACGAGCGCAACCCUCGUUCUAUGUUGCCAGCGCGUUAUGGCGGGGACUCAUAGGAGACUGCCGGGGUCAACUCGGAGGAAGGUGGGGAUGACGUCAAAUCAUCAUGCCCCUUAUGUCUUGGGCUUCACGCAUGCUACAAUGGCCGGUACAAAGGGCGGCGAUACCGUAAGGUGGAGCGAAUCCCAAAAAGCCGGUCUCAGUUCGGAUUGAGGUCUGCAACUCGACCUCAUGAAGUCGGAGUCGCUAGUAAUCGCAGAUCAGCAACGCUGCGGUGAAUACGUUCCCGGGCCUUGUACACACCGCCCGUCAAGUCAUGAAAGUCGGUAACACCCGAAGCCGGUGGCCCAACCCU
rnacentral:rRNA from 1 species